GCUCAUUACACCAUGAAAUACAUAAACACAGUCCCAGGACCAUCCCACCUUUUAAAUAAAAAUCCACACUGAAGGUUUUAUUCCUCUUAAAUACUGUUUAGUGUCCUUCACAACUUUCCCGGGAGAUCAGGAAGAGUGAGUUCAGUGCUAUACUUUGGAUGUGAAACAGUGAGACAAUUUGAGCCAACAUAUUGGUUAGAAGGCAAUGCAAAAUGCCCACUGAGAUCUUGGAGCAGAGCUUGUCUAAUCGGUGUUUGUGUUUAGAUUUGAUAGAAGGAUCACAGGAGCAUCUGUAUCAUAAGGGACCUGAGCCAAUCUAUUUUGGAGAAACAUUCUGAGGGAAAGACCCCACAGGUUAUGGAAGAAAAGCAACAGACAGAAGAUGGGAAAAACAGGUCACGUUUAUAAGACCAGCUUGAAGACCAUGCCACACUGAGGAGUUUGGUUUUUCGUUAGGCAAAGAAACUAGCUGUUUUUUCUUCAAUGUUCAUCGGAAAACUUGCCCAGCAGCUGUGAGUGACUCUUCAGCUUUCGAAUCAUUGUCUUGGAAUCUUCUAAACCAGGACUUUAAAAAAUACUGUAACGGUUAAUAUUGAGUGUCAACUUGAUUGGAUUGAAGGAUGCAAAGUAUUGUUCCUGGGUGUGUCUGUGAGGGUGUUGCCAAAGGAGAUUAACAUUCCAGUCAGUGGACUGGGAAAGGCAGACCCACCCUCAAUCUGGGUGGGCACCAUCUAAUCAGCUGCCAGUGUGGCCAGAAUAAAGCAGGAAAAUGUGGAAGGACUUGACUUGCUGAGUCUUCUGGUCUUCAGCUUUCUCCCAUGCUGGAUGCUUCCUGCCUUAGAGCAUUGGACUCCAGGUCUUCAGCUUUUGGACUCUCGGACUUACACCAGUGGUUUGCCAGGGGCUCUCAGGCCUUUGGACACAGACUGAAGGCUGCACUGUCGGCUUCCCUACUUUUGAGGUUUUGGGCUUCCCUACUCCUCAGCUUGCAGAUGGCCUAUUGUGGAACUUUACCCUGUGAUCAUGUGAGUCAAUACAUUUUAAUAAACUUCCCAUCAUA
rnacentral:lncRNA from 1 species